rnacentral:ncRNA from 2 species
AUAAUAGACUAGGGGUGCCUCUAAUCCAAAGGCUGAGAAAAAGGAAAGACUUUUACCCUUGAACCUGAUCUGGGUGAAGCCAGCGUAGGAAAGUCGAUUAGUAAUUUA